rnacentral:rRNA from 1 species
GAUGAACGCUGGCGGCGUGCCUAAUACAUGCAAGUCGAGCGAACAGACGAGGAGCUCGCUCCUCUGACGUUAGCGGCGGACGGGUGAGUAACACGUGGAUAACCUACCUAUAAGACUGGGAUAACUUCGGGAAACCGGAGCCAAUACCGGAUAAUAUAUUGAACCGCAUGGUUCAAUAGUGAUAGACGGUUUUGAUGUCACUUAUAGAUGGAUCCGCGCCGCAUUAGCUAGUUGGUAAGGUAACGGCUUACCAAGGCGACGAUGCGUAGCCGACCUGAGAGGAUGAUCGGCCACACUGGAACUGAGACACGGUCCAGACUCCUACGGGAGGCAGCAGUGGGGAAUCUUCGACAAUGGGCGAAAGCCUGACGGAGCAACGCCGCGUGAGUGAUGAAGGUCUUCGGAUCGUAAAGCUCUGUUAUUAGGGAAGAACAGAAGUAUGAUUAACUAUGCACGUCUUGACGGUACCUAAACAGAAAGCCACGGCUAACUACGUG